UGUAUCUGAAGUCUGACGAGGAUGAGAACCUCCGGGGGCAAGAGGUUCGACUCGAGCGAAGCGAGAGAACGUUGCGUCA
rnacentral:sRNA from 5 species